GUCUACGGCCAUGCCACCCUGAACAUGCCCGAUCCGGUAUGAUCUCGGAAGCUAAGCGGGGUCGGGCCUGGUUAGUACUUGGAUGGGAGACCACCUAGGAAGACCAGGUGAUGUAGGCA
rnacentral:rRNA from 1 species